GACGAACGCUGGCGGCGUGCUUAACACAUGCAAGUCGAGCGGUAAGGCCCUUUCGGGGGUACACGAGCGGCGAACGGGUGAGUAACACGUGGGUGACCUGCCCUCAGCUCUGGGAUAAGCCUGGGAAACCGGGUCUAAUACCGGAUAUGACUCCAUGACGCAUGUUGUGGGGCGGAAAGCCUUGUGCGGCUGAGGAUGGGCCCGCGGCCUAUCAGCUUGUUGGUGGGGUGANGGCCUACCAAGGCGACGACGGGUAGCCGGCCUGAGAGGGCGACCGGCCACACUGGGACUGAGACACGGCCCAGACUCCUACGGGAGGCAGCAGUGGGGAAUCUUGCGCAAUGGGCGAAAGCCUGACGCAGCGACGCCGCGUGAGGGAUGACGGCCUCGGUA
rnacentral:rRNA from 1 species